rnacentral:rRNA from 1 species
GUGUGCUAAUACCGCAUAAUCUCUCAGGAGAAAAGCAGGGGAUCGCAAGACCUUGCGCUUUAGGAGCGGCCGAUGCCUGAUUAGCUUGUUGGUAAGGUAAAAGCUUACCAAGGCUUCGAUCAGUAGCUGGUCUGAGAGGACGACCAGCCACACUGGGACUGAGACACGGCCCAGACUCCUACGGGAGGCAGCAGUGGGGAAUUUUGGACAAUGGGGGAAACCCUGAUCCAGCCAUGCCGCGUGAGUGAAGAAGGCCUUCGGGUUGUAAAGCUCUUUCAGCCGGAACGAAACGGUUACGAUUAAUACUCGUAAUUAAUGACGGUACCGGCAGAAGAAGCACCGGCUAACUACGUGCCAGCAGCCGCGGUAAUACGUAGGGUGCGAGCGUUAAUCGGAAUUACUGGGCGUAAAGGGUCCGCAGGUUGUUUUGUAAGUCAGAUGUGAAAGCCCCGGGCUUAACCUGGGAACUGCGUCUGAAACUACAAGGCUAGAGUAUGGCAGAGGGGGGUGGAAUUCCGCGUGUAGCAGUGAAAUGCGUAGAUAUGUGGAGGAACACCGAUGGCGAAGGCAGCCCCCUGGGUCAAUACUGACGCUGAGGGACGAAAGCAUGGGGAGCAAACAGGAUUAGAUACCCUGGUAGUCCAUGCCCUAAACGAUGUCAACUAGUUGUCGGGCCUUUACGGGCUUGGUAACGUAGCUAACGCGUGAAGUUGACCGCCUGGGGAGUACGAUCGCAAGAUUAAAACUCAAAUGAAUUGACGGGGACCCGCACAAGCGGUGGAUUAUGUGGAUUAAUUCGAUGCAACGCGAAAAACCUUACCUACCCUUGACAUGUAUCGAAACCCGCAGAAAAGCGGGGGUGCCCGAAAGGGAACGAUAACACAGGUGCUGCAUGGCUGUCGUCAGCUCGUGUCGUGAGAUGUUGGGUUAAGUCCCGCAACGAGCGCAACCCUUGUCAUUAAUUGCCAUCAUUUAGUUGGGCACUUUAAUGAGACUGCCGGUGAUAAACCGGAGGAAGGUGGGGAUGACGUCAAGUCCUCAUGGCCCUUAUGGGUAGGGCUUCACACGUAAUACAAUGGCGCGUACAGAGGGUUGCCAACCCGCGAGGGGGAGCUAAUCUCAGAAAGCGCGU